GACCCCAGGUCAGACGGGACUACCCGCUGAGUUUAAGCAUAUCAAUAAGCGGAGGAAAAG
rnacentral:rRNA from 1 species